AUGGUGUCAAAGUCAUCCACAUCUUGAAAUUCAAGCAGCACUUGUGAUUAGGUAGAGAAGAGUGGCUCUUGAAGGACAAUGAAGGUUACAUGUUGUAAUGUCCACGACUUUAGUUCCUCAUUCCUGGAUUUAUUUAGGUAUUCUAUAUACGAUGACCCGACACCCGGAUUGCAUAGCACGAUAGCAGGAAUACCACCUUUGUAUUGAAGUCUAUGGGGUUCCACUCUAAAACCAAUUGGUCUUAUUCUUUCGAUGUGGGAUAGGGCUCCUCCAAUACUUUGAUCUGAACCGGUUUUCUGUACUUGCACUUUGCUUGCCAGUCUCUUUGUGCACCAAGUAAUUCCUUCCAGUGUUUUAAACAUUGUGGGUUAACGUUAUCAAUAACGUUAUAUUCCACAUCGUUAGAGA
rnacentral:lncRNA from 1 species